AUGCCCUCAUCCUUGAGGGGCAUGAGGGUAGUCAGUAGCCUGAUGUCCCUCUUGAUGGCAC
rnacentral:pre_miRNA from 14 species